CUCCGUUGGUGAACCUGCGGAAGGAUCAUUA
rnacentral:rRNA from 1 species